CAAGCUUAAGCUGAGCACCUCGAAGGGCUUCUUUUUAUGUUGAAAGGCACGGGUUUGGAUGGCGGUUCAUCAGAGGUCAAUACCCCAGUUUGAGAAAGUCCACUGUGGGGAGGAAAGAGAGACUUAAGCAAGCCCUGGAAAAACAAAGAAUGGAACACCCCUCCUCUGACUUCAACCAACUGCCUGCUGCUGCAGCCUGACUCCCAGUCCUUUUUGUGGUUUUAAGGUGACAAACUGACCAGGCUACAAAGUAUCCAACCAUGGGCUGGUACUGGCUGGUUCACCGAGGCUGUAUACAAAGUGCCUUCGUGUCCUGUGUUUCACCUUUUAACAUACAGAGCCUAAUUUUACUGCAUUUUAAUGUUAAAUAUCCAUUCGAAGGUGAACAUGAGAUGUA
rnacentral:lncRNA from 1 species